rnacentral:rRNA from 1 species
GUCGCCUCCUAAAAGGUAACGGAGGCGCUCAAAGGUUCCCUCAGAAUGGUUGGAAAUCAUUCAUAGAGUGUAAAGGCAUAAGGGAGCUUGACUGCGAGACCUACAAGUCGAGCAGGGUCGAAAGACGGACUUAGUGAUCCGGUGGUUCCGCAUGGAAGGGCCAUCGCUCAACGGAUAAAAGCUACCCCGGGGAUAACAGGCUUAUCUCCCCCAAGAGUUCACAUCGACGGGGAGGUUUGGCACCUCGAUGUCGGCUCAUCGCAUCCUGGGGCUGUAGUCGGUCCCAAGGGUUGGGCUGUUCGCCCAUUAAAGCGGUACGCGAGCUGGGUUCAGAACGUCGUGAGACAGUUCGGUCCCUAUCCGUCGUGGGCGUAGGAAAUUUGAGAGGAGCU